GUUGCUUUUUUGAUCCUUCGAUGUCGGCUCUUUCCUAUCAUUGAGACGCAGAAGUCUCAAAGUGUCGAUUGUUCACCCGCCAAUAGGGAACGUGAGCUGGGUUUAGACCGUCGUGAGACAGGUUAGUUUUACCCUACUGACAAAGUAGAUACUGCGACAGUAGUCGAAGUUAGUACGAGAGGAACACUUCGUCCAGAUACUUGGUUAAUGCCGUUGUCUGAAAAGACAGUACGGCGAAGCUACCAUCUGCUGGAUUACGGCUGAACGCCUCUAAGCCGGAAUCCAUGCUGGAUAAGCAGUGUUGUACACCGUGCUCAAUGCUACAAGAAAAAGGCUAGGUCAGGCUUCGGCCUGACCAAAAUUCAAGCUGCUAUACCUCUGGCUGCAUUGACUUGUGGUCAGAGUGUAUGGUGAUCAUAGCAAUUGCAAGUAUUGGGCUCGAUAAAUCCUUUGAAGACGACUUAAUUGCAUCCGGGUAUUGUAAGUGUUGAGAGUAGGCUUAGUCUUACGAUCCACUGAGAUUCAUCCCGUGUUGCGCCGAUUUGU
rnacentral:ncRNA from 1 species